UCCUGGUUACCGUUUCAGAUGACAGACAAAUUGUCAGGUGCGACCAGCCCUUAUACACUGAAGCCGGAGCUGAUUAUUAGAGAAGUUUAGACACCAUGGUGUGAUUAAUAAUUAAAGCCUGCAGCUAUGUUGCAGAAAAGAUCGGAGGUCUGUGCAGAAAAGCAGAGGAGGAGGAAGCACCUGCGCCCAUCGCCUGUACUGCAGAUCUAAAGCAGAGACCAAAUGGAAUUCCAGCUGAGCCUGAGAUCUUCAAGCAAAAAAUACCAAGUGGUGAUGUCCCAGCCCGCCCCUGUCGAUCCUGAGGGUAGUUUACCCCAGGCAAUGCCCUGGGAUUAAACGGAGUGCCAUCUUUCUUCCAAAGUACAUUUCCCAUCAUGCUCAGAUUAUUGUGUAUACCAGGGGUUGACAAAUCUGCCAGGCAAAGAUAUUUGUAUAUCAAUAUAUGGAGAAUAAACCCAAAAAUUUGGAGCCAGUGGUAAAAUUGUAGGAGUUAGUGGCUUCCUGGCUCCUGGGUUUGUCGAGCCCUGGUGUAUACACUCACUUUUUCCUUUAUCUAAUACAGCUGUAGGAGAUUUACUCAGUGGGGAAAUUAUCAAAAAAACAACCACUUCGCAUGCACAAACCUAUUAGACUUGUUAAAGCAUUACUUUUGUGGGAGAACAUCAGAGGUUAUGUUGUUUUACAUUCAUUAAGUAUUUAACCCCCCCAAGUGAAAUUGAGUUGGUAUAUAUGACUUAAAGGGACCUAAAAAUGUAAAAAUGUAUUCUAUCGUGGAACAAAUUCUCUUUUUAUCCAGUGCAAAGGGCUUAAACACAUAGUUAAAGGGACAUGAAACCUAAUUUUCUUCUUGUGUGAGUCAGAUAGACCAUACAGUUUUAAGCAACUUUCAAAUUUACUUCUAUUAUGAAAUUUGCUUAAUUCUUUUGGUAUCCUUUGUUGACAGGUAUACCUAGGUAGGCUCAGGAACUGUGAGCUAGCUGCUGAUUGGUAGCUGGACAUAUAUGUCUGUUAUUGGUUAACCGAUGCAUUCAGCUAGCUCCCAGAAGUGCAUUUCUGCUCCCUCGAGAAAGGAUAGCAAGAGAAUGAAGCAAAAUUGAUAAUAGAAGUAAAUUGGAAAUUUAUGCUCUAUCUGAAUCAUUAACAAAAACAAUUUUUGGUUUCAUGUCCCUUUAAAGUUGUGCACCCAGGUUCAAUGAAUUGCUACUCAUGGAAGGAUAUGGGCAGUGAACCAGGAACGUCUAAUGUAUGUACCACCAAUUAAACUAUUUGUGCCUUGCUCCCUGGGUGAAUGACUUUAAAUAUGUGUUUAACUCCACUUCUAAGAACAACACAGCUGGUAGGCCAAUCAAGAUGCAGCAUAUGUACAUAUCUGCCAAUCAGCAGUCAUGUACUUUUUAAAAAAUAACAUGAAAGCAUGCUGGGUAAACAAGUUUAUCUGUUUAAUUCAUUUGCAGGACUUUAACACAUAGUGAAAAAAGAGAACUUGUAUAUAAAAAUGCUUUAAAGGGAUAGUAAAAUAAAAAUUAAACUUGCCUGAUUCAGAUAGAGCAGAUCAUUUUAAGACACUUUUAAAUUAACUUCUAUUUUUAAAUGCGCUUUUGUUCUCUUGUUUUCCCUUAUUGAAAAUGAAUAAGCACAUAUCCUACACUAGUGGGAGCUGCUGCUGAUUGGUGCCUGCACACAUUUGUGUCAUGUGAUUGGCUAACUAGAUUUUUUUCAGCUUCCUGUCAGUAGUGCAAUGCUGUUCCUUCAGCAAAUGAUAACAAGAGAAUGAAGCAAAUUUGAUAAUAGAAGAAAAGUUGAAAGUUGUUUAAAAUUGUAUGUUCUAUCCAAAUCAUGAAAGAAAAGUUUGGUGUUUCCGGUCCCUUUAAUGACCUAGAAAAUAUUAUUUUUACACUUUUACCUUAUUUCAAAGAAACAGAUGGGGUAGUUCAUUUAACACUUGGAAAACUUAUCACAAAAUGUAUCUACAAAAGUAGGCUGACCAUAUUGCUGCUUUUAAAAGGGACACAUAUGAAAAAUACAUAUGUCAGGGCUGUUUUCAGAGCUGUUUAAAGAAAUGUUUUGUAUAAGAACCCUGACAUAUGUAUUUUUCAUAUGUGUCCCUUUUUAAAGCGGCAAUAUGGUCAUCCUAUACAAAAGUACCCAUACGCUUUUCUAUUGAAAAGGAAACUACCACUUGAUCAUUAUCAAACAAAUCAGCGCAGUUAACAAUACAACCUGGUGAAAAAAUACUAUUACUUUCAUCUCAUAUAUGGCAUUAGUUUGACAUUCUCAAAUAGAUCUCCUUUGUAUUUUAUGACUACAUAAAAACUCCUCCGGUUUGGAAAGCAAAAGUAUUAUUAGAUAAAUUUACUACAACGUUCAGCCUUUACUGGAAAUCCAGAUCUUAUCGUGGGGAUCUUAUACAAGAAUCAAUCCGGUUACGAAAAUAUCCGAAGGGCAUGAGCCGUUGCUCACGAAAGAUCUGCAUGCGCAUUCCUAAUGAAUGUUUUUUUGUGCUAAACCAAUAAAUGACCAGACAAUUUAAAGGGACAUUAAACACUUUGAGAUGGUAAUAUAAAAUGCUAAAUCAUAUAUAUAAAAACAGUCUGCAAUAUACUUUCAUUAUUUACUUUGUCCCCUUUUCCUGUAAUUCCAUUCUGAAAUUGUGAGCUUUUUAGUUCUUGUUAGAAAUGGAAGUGCAGAACACUGUAAUAUUCCACACAGCUAUUGGCUGCACACUCUAGUGACCUAUUUAUAACUGCCCCUAAUUGGCCACAGCAGAGAAAGUAACCUAAGUUACAACAUGGCAGCUCCCAUUGUUUUAUAGACACUAAAGCUUUACACUUAUUUUGUCAAUACUUAAACAGCUAAUGAAUCUUUACAAACUACAUCUAUAAGUUAUUCUCUUUUCUUUGAAUGCAUAAUUCUAUCUAGCAUUUAUUUAGUGUUUAAUGUCCCUUUAAGGAGAAUUACAUUGUAUAUGAAACAUAAAUUUGCCAGCUGUUACCGAGACAGUUAUGUUCAUUUACAAUAAUUAAGGUAUGUUCUAACCAUCUCCCUUUUAUUGUAAAAGUCUUAUGGUAUUUUUAACAAUUGAUGUCUGAGAUGCAUUUCAAUGUAUUGCAGUUCUCCUAGGUAGGAAAAGGGUUAAAGCUGAGUAAAAUACAUAUGGAAGAAGGAUCCUACUUCUCCAAAUUGCUUUAGAUCUUACUGUUGUGGAAGACGUAGGAAGAAGCAGAUGCAGUGUUGAAUGACAGCGCUCUCACAAACCUCCUCCAUAGGGGGAAGAGACUGCUUGAUAAAGAAAAACUGUUUUGCCAACGUCAACAAAACAGAAAAAAAUACCAAAACCUUGUAUGUAGGCAAGGUCAUCAAUAAAUAAGUGUCUGACCAA